UGCUCUGCUGUGCCUAUUGAAAUGUAUAUUGUGCUAUCAGUGGUUUGGUUCAGUUUUUUAUUGCUGCUGUAUCAGUGGUGUUUGUUUGUGAAGUGCUACGGGUGAGCAUUAGAUUUAUGGCUUGUAUUUUUACUUUGGAUGUUUGGGUGACAAAACACUUUGGGUGUAAAUAUUUUGUGUAAAUUGUUUCUAACUUGUCUACUGAAUCCAACCUGCGUGUCUGAUUUUUAUUGAGCCCUUUCAUGUCACAUUAAGAUGUUCUGUGCCACGUUACAAAAGUUCUGUUUUUAAGCCAUUCUGUCCAUUUUUGUUUCUGCUCUUUUUAGGCUGACAUUUUCUCUGCUUUUCAUGACAAAUUUCAUGGUAAUCCAUCCAAAUGUGAACCUCAUGGUGGCGCUAGAUGAAAAGUCAGCAAAUCACCAAAGUCAUUAGGAAUUAUCUUCUGGGAAUCAUGGUAAAACAUUUCAUGGCAGUCAGGAGCAAAGUGGUCGACCACCGACUGACUAGGGUUGCAAAAUUCCGGGAAUUUUCAAAAUUGGAAACUUUCCAUUGGAAUUAACAGGAAUAAAUGGGAAUAAACUGAAUAUUUUUAAUAUUGCUUGUUAUAAUACUGUUAGUCUAUAACAGAGAACUUACAUGUAAUGUUAAUACAUAACCCAUUUGGGUUAAUUGUAUUGUACGCAUAUAACCAUAACCACAGCCAUAGUAAAUCAAAGGCAGCAUGCUAGCUACCAUCAUAUGUUAAGCUGAAGGUCAGUGGUUUGGGCUACUACUUAUGGUGCUAUCCAUUUGUCUCGUAAAUCCCCCGCCCGAGUUGCUCUGACGCGAGAACGUGACGUCAUUGCCUGGCUUGUACCACUUAGAGCGUUCCAUUUGUCUUUGGGCAUUACGAGUUGGAAAGAAGUGCAGCAGCUGUGUUGUUAUUGUUUGUGACUCAUCUAAACAAGCUCAAUGUGAAAUAAUAAUAUGUUUUUCUACAGAAACACUAACAUUUCAAGUAAUUCCGUUACUGCAAGUCUUACAUUUCAAUAAUAUUUUUCCAUUCUGCCUAUUUCAAUUUCAACAAGUGCUGUGGCGUUUGUCUCGAGCCACCAGGGGCCACCAGGGGCCACCAGGGGCAGUGGCAGUUUGUUGCCUGCAGAGGUUCCUGCUCCAGUGACUGUGACCCUGUGUCAGGGACAAAAGACAAGGAUCAAUACUGUUUUUGCUGGUGAAAUCGAUUAUUUGAGCCAUGCAAGGAAAAAAAAAACAUCUUGACACAGCGAAUGGCAAGUCGAUAACUCAUCUGCAUAUUUUGAUGACAUGCUGACAUGCAAGGUAUUUAUUUGAAUCUUUUAAUCAUUUUCCACUUUUUUUUAUAAACUUUUCAGAGCUGACAGUUUAAGCAGUUUCUUAUUUCUGUUUGUACUUUUCAUGGUGCUUUGUAUGAAGAGUUUUCUUUUAUUGAAUCCACGUUCACUGUACAGAUGACUGAUUGAGCACUUUGUAACUCAAGUUGUGGCUUAAUGCAAUGUUCUCCGAAUUUCAAAUUUCUCCCUGCCAACUCAAUUUUUAAAUAAAGCUUUUCAGUGAAAGUUUUGGACUUCAUCUUGUUCUGACUUUGUCUUUAGAAAAACCUGAAUGUGAUCCAGUGCUUCAUUUUCAUGUCACAGCCUCCUGGUUUCUUCUGUCUACCUUCCAGAUAGCUCUCAUUUGUCUCUGCCUGCUUUCACUCCAUUGCUCACCUUGACAACUGUCUGUUUUUCUGUUUUUAGAAAGUUACAGUAAUUGUUGGACAGGGGUUUAAGACACUGAAGGACAAUCCAAUGUAGUUCUGUGAUUCACACUGACGCCUUCAAACUGUGACUUUCACACACAGUCAUCAAGGUGUGAAUUGGUGUAAAAUGUUUGUGUGCUCAUGGUCUGACCCCCCCAAAACCUUUAAUGCUACAAAAUGAUGUCUGUGUUUCGUGUUUCAACAUGAACAUGUCCCUGUGCACAAAGCCAGGUCUAUAAAGUUUUCCAGUUUGGUGUGGAGGAACUUGACUGGCCUGCACAGCCAGCACCUUUGGGAUGGACUUGGAGACCGACUGACAGCCAGACUUCAUCACCCUACAUCACUGGACCUCACUAACGCUCUAAUAAGAGCAAAUCCCUGCAGCCAGGUUCCAAAACUCUUGUGUCAGGUCUUCCCAGAAGAACACCAGGGGGCAGCAGAAACCAUCCAUCACUGUCAACACUAGAAACCCCUUAUAAUGAACCCUAAUGAAUGUUGCUCAUGCACAAAGAAGGCGCUCUACCUGUGCACACGUGGAGUAUUUGUAGCAGGUACAAAAGGAGGGAAAGGAGGACUCUAUGCUGCUGGUGCAGGAGCAUACACAAGGCCUUUCUGAAAUAAAUCCACAUUUUUUUAUUAAUUUCCUUUUUCUUUAAAAAUAGGAACUCCUGCAGUGCUUCCUCCAUGAUGUUUCAAAUACUUGUACGAAGUGACUGUUUGACUGACUUUAGGAGUGAAACGUCUAAAUCUGUGGACUAACGUUACUUACAGGUGUAAUAUGAAAAACUUUCCAUAGGACGGUGUCAUUGCUCUUUCCGGUGCCUCCUUCUGAUCAAAUGACCAAAGGAUUUGCAAGACUCAUGCUUGUCACUUUUGAUGGUUUACUACUGUUUAGGAAAGAGUGGAGAGUUUUCACCUUCACUGCAAAAGCCCAUUUUUUUCUCCAUUUUUAAUGCGCUAUUAUUGAUCAAUUUAGACAAUAAAUAAAUAAAAAUAUACAUAUAAAAGACCCACUCACUGUGAGGCUGACUCUGUCAGGGUUGUGGUGAAGUUACUGCUGCUGCAUUCAAAUAAAAAUGAAAACUGACACAGAAAUACACAUAAUAACACAGGAAGCCAUAAUAACAGUGGAGGCUGGAGGUGAAGUGUGUCUCAGUCUUGCACCCUGAAUCCCACUGUAGAGUCUAAAGAACACACUCACUCUCUCAUGGCAGCUGCCACAAUCUGUGACAUUUUUUCAUCCUUAAAUCAUGAAGUACAGUAACUGUAAAGACACUUGAUAAUACACACUUGUUGUUUCUGGUAUUUGUUUUUUUCUUUCAUUUCAGCCUCAGGGAAUAUGAG
rnacentral:lncRNA from 15 species